AAGUCGUAACAAGGUUUCCGUAGGUGAACCUGCGGAAGGAUCAUUAAAAAUUUAUAUUCCGGGAAUUCGUUUCGUUUUCCCGGAUUAUUUGUAUCCAAAUCCCACUCUUUAUAAAUAUAUUAAUUAUAUAAAACAAAAAUAAAAAAGAAAACUUUCAACAACGGAUCUCUUGGCUCUC
rnacentral:misc_RNA from 1 species